AGAUUGUCAAGGAAGUAAACAGACUUUUAGAGGAGUGCUGUGAGACAGUGCCAUGUGGGAAGGGGUAUUGGUGAAAGAAUCCUGCUUUAUAAGGGCGGUUAUGGAAGAC
rnacentral:sRNA from 1 species